AGUUCUUCGGAACUAGAGACCGGCGCACGGGUGCGUAACGCGUAUGCAAUCUACCUUUCACAAAGGGAUAGCCCAGAGAAAUUUGGAUUAAUACCUUAUAGUAUAUAUGAAUGGCAUCAUUUAUAUAUUAAAGAUUUAUCGGUGAAAGAUGAGCAUGCGUCCCAUUAGCUUGUUGGUAAGGUAACGGCUUACCAAGGCUACGAUGGGUAGGGGUCCUGAGAGGGAGAUCCCCCACACUGGUACUGAGACACGGACCAGACUCCUACGGGAGGCAGCAGUGAGGAAUAUUGGACAAUGGGCGCAAGCCUGAUCCAGCCAUGCCGCGUGCAGGAUGACGGUCCUAUGGAUUGUAAACUGCUUUUGUACAGGAAGAAACAGUUCUACGUGUAGAACCUUGACGGUACUGUAAGAAUAAGGAUCGGCUAACUCCGUGCCAGCAGCCGCGGUAAUACGGAGGAUCCAAGCGUUAUCCGGAAUCAUUGGGUUUAAAGGGUCCGUAGGCGGUUAGAUAAGUCAGUGGUGAAAGCCCAUCGCUCAACGGUGGAACGGCCAUUGAUACUGUCUGACUUGAAUUAUUAGGAAGUAACUAGAAUAUGUAGUGUAGCGGUGAAAUGCUUAGAGAUUACAUGGAAUACCAAUUGCGAAGGCAGGUUACUACUAAUGGAUUGACGCUGAUGGACGAAAGCGUGGGUAGCGAACAGGAUUAGAUACCCUGGUAGUCCACGCCGUAAACGAUGGAUACUAGCUGUUGGGCGCAAGUUCAGUGGCUAAGCGAAAGUGAUAAGUAUCCCACCUGGGGAGUACGUUCGCAAGAAUGAAACUCAAAGGAAUUGACGGGGGCCCGCACAAGCGGUGGAGCAUGUGGUUUAAUUCGAUGAUACGCGAGGAACCUUACCAAGGCUUAGAUGUAG
rnacentral:rRNA from 1 species